CUCCUCCACGGUCUCUCCGAUGGUCAUUAUCCCGGAGAACUCAAAAUCAUCCGCUCUUCAGUCCACAUUGCUCUGAAAUCUAUGAAGCUCGAGAAAUUAUGCUGAAGAUUCGCCAGAUACCAAUGCAGUGGAGAAUGAAGAUGAGGAAAUUAGGAACGUGCUGAAAAUGUCACUAGCGAAAGAAUUAAUUAUUCCCGGCAAACAUUCCAAAAUAUCAAUGGAGGCAGUUUAUUUUCUGGAAUCUGAAAGACAACGUGUUGAGCAGACGCAAUCGGUGGGCAGAGGACACAGUCACGGUCACCCAUUUGUCUACUCCACUUCUUCUUGUUGGUACUUCUUUAUAACCUUAUUUUUCUCUUUUUUUAAUUUUCUUAAUUUUCACAUUAUAUUAUACCCCGUUCAAAUUUGACCCAUAAGCCAUUAUAUCUCUCAUUUCAUAUUAGACCCUUAAUUCUUUUUUGCCCUUUUUCAUAUUAUACCUCUCUAGCAAGUGGUAGAUUUCGAGUCUAAAAAACGAGCCACAUUUCUCAUAUACAU